GACAGAGGGUGCAAACGUUGUUCGGAAUUACUGGGCGUAAAGCGGGUGUAGGUGGCUCUAUAAGUCAGAAGUGAAAGCCCCGGGCUUAACCCGGGAAGUGCUUUUGAUACUGCAGAGCUUGAAUGUGGGAGAGGGUAGUGGAAUUCCAGGUGUAGUGGUGAAAUGCGCAGAUAUCAGGAGGAACACCGGUGGCGAAGGCGGGACUCUGGGCCGAUACUGACGCUGAGGAGCGAAAGCGUGGGGAGCGAACAGG
rnacentral:rRNA from 1 species